UGGGGAAUAUUGCACAAUGGGCGCAAGCCUGAUGCAGCCAUGCCGCGUGUGUGAAGAAGGCCUUCGGGUUGUAAAGCACUUUCAGCGAGGAGGAAGGUGGUGAGCUUAAUACGCUCAUCAAUUGACGUUACUCGCAGAAGAAGCACCGGCUAACUCCGUGCCAGCAGCCGCGGUAAUACGGAGGGUGCAAGCGUUAAUCGGAAUUACUGGGCGUAAAGCGCACGCAGGCGGUUUGUUAAGUCAGAUGUGAAAUCCCCGGGCUCAACCUGGGAACUGCAUUUGAAACUGGCAAGCUAGAGUCUCGUAGAGGGGGGUAGAAUUCCAGGUGUAGCGGUGAAAUGCGUAGAGAUCUGGAGGAAUACCGGUGGCGAAGGCGGCCCCCCUGGACGAAGACUGACGCUCAGGUGCGAAAGCGUGGGGCAGCAAACAGGAUUAGAUACCCUGGUAGUCCACGCUGUAAAACGAUGUCGAUUUUGGAGGUUGUGCCCUUGAGGCGUGGCUUCCGGAGCUAACGCGUUAAAUCGACCGCCUGGGGAGUACGGCCGCAAGGUUAAAACUUAAAUGAAUUGACGGGGUC
rnacentral:rRNA from 1 species